GAUCAUGGCUCAGGACGAACGCUGGCGGCGUGCUUAACACAUGCAAGUCGAACGGAGCACCCUUGAUUGAGGUUUCGGCCAAAUGAUAGGAAUGCUUAGUGGCGGACUGGUGAGUAACGCGUGAGGAACCUGCCUUUCAGAGGGGGACAACAGUUGGAAACGACUGCUAAUACCGCAUGACGCAUUUUGAUCGCAUGGUCGAAAUGCCAAAGAUUUAUCGCUGAAAAGAUGG
rnacentral:rRNA from 1 species